rnacentral:sRNA from 1 species
ACUGGUGAGGUCAGAGGAGGCCGAGAGCUGGAGGGAAAGGGAAAGGGGUUCGGAAUGUAACCUACUUGUUAACACCUGUCACAGGGUUCCCCCUCCAGCAAGCGGAGAAGCCCUUUGCUGCAGCCAAUUAUCGAGGGCGAAACUGCUUCCUUCUUCAAGGAGAUAAAGGAAGAAGAGGAAGGGUCAGAAGAUGAUAGCAAUGUGAAGCCAGACUUCAUGGUCACUCUGAAAACCGAUUUCAGUGC